AAUCCAUGUGCGCUGCCACUGUAAAUAAAUGAAGGAUGUUCAGGUUGCGACGUCUGUGUACAUACUAUCACUAGUAUGCUGGUGGAUUGCCCUCAUGGUUUAAUGCUUUUAAGUGUGGUAUUUUAUCAUCUGAAUGUUAGAACGGCCUGUAAAACUCUUAUCUAUUACUCUCGUCUGGUUUAUGUUCCUCAUGCUCUGGGAUGAUUUCAAUCGCAAAUUACUGGCAGCAGAACCGAGUUUUUUUUAUAUUAUAUUGUUUCACACACCUUGUCCUUUUUGUUUGAGAACUGCAUCUACUGCUGUUUUGCAGCACAUUGCACUGCCCUUUUAGGGCAUCUCUAGCCGAUCCAUAAAAACAGCCUCCCUGAGGUGUACACUUACUCGCCAUGUUUCCGGCGACACCCGCUCGCCCGACCAACCCCCGCUGCGUCCUCCGCCCUUCUUUCUGCCUCAUGGCGUCGGUGACGUACCGUGAGCCUGUCUGCGCUGACGUUCCUACGGGCGCGAGGCUGAGCUGCGUGUGGCGCCGGGCAGAUACAGAAAAAUUUAGAGAUUGCUAAGAAACCGUGGAGGCGCAUAGUAAGUGUUUGACGAAGUGGAGGCGCAUAAUUAAAGUGUUCGAUGAAAUGCAUGAGCUAAAUUUUCUUUUACUUCGUUAACUUCAGGGAAACGGCUAGACACGACAAAAUUUAAAAAUAUCACUAAGGUUUACUCGACGUUUACUCUGCUAAAAUUUAGAAGAUCGGCUAGAAACAACAAAAUUUAGAGUAAAAACACUUCACUAGGGUUUACUCGACGUUUACUCUUCUAAAAUUUAGGGGAUUGAUUAGAGAUGGUCUAAGCCUGUAAACGUAAAAGAGGACCUUUUCUGAUGUGAAAUGCAUGGAGUGUGUUUUCUAUCAUAAUAAUUGCAAUUUGGGGUGAGCACGCUUGGUGUUGGUUAUCAUUCCUUGUUCGAAAUUAUACGUGAUGAUCGCUGCUACCCAUAAUGAUGCAUUGAUGUGGUGUGCCCACCCAAACAUGUUUUCGAUCUUGUUCACUUCUCUACUACUACUAGUUUGCCCAUGUGGCAGCAAUAUAUGCCCAACUGCAAACGGGAAAGCAAACUUCUGGUCCACUAUACCACCAGUUUAUACUAUGCCCAACUGCAAACGAAACCAGAGAUGGUAUCCGUGCGGUGCUUGCGAAAAUUGUUUGCAAUUAUUUCAACUAGGACGGCCGUGCAUCCAGUGGUUGGCUUCGACCAACGUUCUAUCUCGCACGUUGUUGAGGGAAUAUUUUACGAUAUUUAGUCGUAUGAAACAUGGAUAUUUAGAAUAAUGUAAAAAUAAAACUGAAAAUAUAUACUCCCUUCAUUCCAUAAUGUAAUGCAUAUAGAUUUUUUGAAAAGUCAAACCUCACAAACUUUGACCAAGUUUGUGGAGAAAAACAUUUACAUUUAGAAUGACAAACCUAUAUCAUUAGAUUCAUCAUAAGAUGUAAUUUUAUAUUUUUGGUAUCGUAGAUAUAAAUAGUUUUCUCUAUAAACUUGGUCAAAGUUUAGAAAGUGUGACUUCUAAAAAAUCUAUAUGCACUAUAUUAUGAAACGGAGGUAGUACGAUUUAUUGUGUUUGAUCAUUGUAUAAUUGUACAAUAUAUUUAUUAAAUAUAAAUAGAACAAUAUAAUAAAAAUUGUCAUGCAUGUUUGCAUGUUGAUAUGAGCUUUUUCAAUAUGCAUGGUUGCAUGUUGAGGUGGUCUUCUCUCUUGCAUAUUGUAUGUUGAGGUAGCAAGCUUGCAUGUUAAUAGAAAAUUUAUUGAACGUGAGUAGCAUGUAUGGUGCAUGUUAAAGCAGGUCUUUUUCAGUGCAUGUGGUGUGAUGACUUGACAUAGGUGCAUGUGAGAGUGGGGAUCAACUAUUUAGGUAUACUAGCAAGGUAGUCGUCCAUUGCACAUGGUAGCUUAGAUAAUGAAAGUAUGAAUGAAUAUCGGCGUACCAAAUUGUAACAUGUAAAUUUUGUGUCAUAUAUAGAUGACGUAGAUGUUGAUUUUAUUCUUGUAAUUCACCCCAUUAAAAUUAAAUUAUAGGUACAACAUAUUCAAAGAUCGCAUGGUUAUAGGACUGCAUGAAACUCUUGUGAGUUAUACUAACACAUUUUCUUUAGGUAUCUUGUAUUGCAAUUUCGAGUAGCAUGUAUUGCAUCGUCAAAGACGAAUAUAAUUUAUAAACAUGUUAUCAUAGCCUUCAAAAAAUCAUAAACUAAGUGAAUGCAAAUUCUUUAGAAGAAAAAACAUAGAGUAAAUAAAAUAAGGAAGAGUGUAGAACAAAUGAGAAGUGCAUGUGAUGUGAGCUUGUCGUAUUAUGCAUUAUAAAUCUUAAAGUAAAAAAAUGAUAAUUCACUUAGAAGAAAAAAGUUCAAGAAAAUAAAAUAUGAAAGAUUUUAGGACGAAGGGGAAGUGCUUGUGUUUUGAGAUUGUGCAUAUUGUGCAUUCAUUGUAAAUCCUAAAGUAAAGGAUGAAAAUUAAUUUAGACGAAACAACUUUGGGGAAUUAAAUUAUGAGAAAUUCUAGAACAAAGAAGUGCUUGUGUUUUGAGGUUUGUGCAUUGUGCUUGCUCAACCAUGGAACCUUCUAGAUAAUACAUGUGAGAAUCUAGUGGGAGUGAAGAUGAUAGGCAAGGAUCAAUAAUGCACGGAUUUGACACACAUAUACCAUCAGUUUGGCUUUAUCCAAGGGUCCAUAUUUAAAGUUAUUUAUACACUUUAUAGUGGUAUAGAUAUCGAUAAGAUACCACGCAUGUCAAUUUGAAUCACCAUACAUGUACAUGUAUGUAUAGUUGGAGGCUUAGAAAAAAAAAAUCGGUCAUCCUUUUAUUUACACUCAAAGCACAUCUUUAUUCAUUUGAAAUAUGUUGCAUCAUGCACUAAAAAAGCGGUACUAGAGAGGGUGGAGGAUCAUCUAACCAAGUACAAGGAUGUUGAUACUUUGCCAACCUCGCCAACUCAUGGGCAACCACAUUAGGUUCGCGAUUCUCAUGAACAAAAUUUACCUUAGCAAAUUCUCUAGAAAGGAAAAUCAGUCAAAAGAAAAUCGUAGCUACAUUACUCGUUGCAUGAACUUCAUCAUUCACGGUGUUUAUAACUUCCAUCUUAUUUGAGCUGAUAAGCAAGGUGAUUGCAUCCCAUUGUCUCAGCUAGCAUAAGUCCUUCCUGAUGUGUUAAGGCUUCAGGCGAAAGAACAUAAAAAAUAGCAGGGAUACUAGAAUUAUUGGUAGCAAUAAAUCUCCCUUUAAUGUCUCUAAUGACAACACUAAUGAUCCCCUUAUGAUUAUCUCCGUAAAAAGAUGCAUCCACGUUCACCUUCACGAACUCCUUCAGAGAUGGUUCCCGUCGCUCUUCCCUUUCCAUCUGAUGUGUGAUCGAGGCCUCCAUGAAGUUUGCCGCAAGAGAUGCUUGUCUUGGGCCUGCUCUAGUCUUGGUGCUGCUAACUAAGGGUCGAAUUUCGUGACUUGAUGAAGAGGAAGCCGAGUAUCUUUGGUCUUGAAGAUGGCCAUUGCUGACUUCUCGGGGUUUUGGGCCUGAUCAUCUCGACACUGUUGUAUGCAUUGAGGGUGGAUUUGCAACUGAGGCAAAAAAAGUCAGGCCAACUUGUAUGUUAAGGGUGGAUUACUUACUGCAAAAAAAUUCAAAAUCAGUUGCAAUACAGAAGAAACAUCGAGUCCGGUUGCGAGUCGAGGAUGGACUUGAAACUGGAGACAAAAUAAAGGGUUGAGCUUAGUUGCAAGUUAAUAGUGGACUUGCAACUGAGAUGGAAAAAAAUGGAUGGUCCCGAUUGCGUAUGGUCUUGUUCUUAAUUGCUUGAGAGAACACAUAUAUCCCCUUUUUAUUGCUAAGCCUCCACAAGCCUUCCCAUGCUCGCUAAUUGAACCAUCCGUCUUCAUCAAGUUGAGGGCGGUGUUGCAACUCGGGAGAAAAAAAGUCGCACGAAAAAAGGCGUUAGCUCUAAUGGAAGACAAAGGGAAAACAUAGAGAGAGAAAGAGGAAUGAGGAGGCAAAGCAGCUGCAUAAUGAAGAUGAUAAAAGAGACAACAAAGAGAGUUCCCUGUCUUUCCUCUUCUACAAAGCAUGCAAAUAACAAAAUGACAAAAUAAACAUGAAAAUAGCCAGGGAAAAAUAAAACAGAGGCUAGACAAAACAUGGGCCUAACAAAUAUGAGCCGACAACUAGAUAUCGCGACGACGCGGGACGCAUGACCGGGGGGCGCACGACAAAAACAAAGCGGGAUCAAGUUUGUGCAAAGAUUAUAGCAAACAGAUCGAAUGAACCACAACUUAAAUGACACAUAGUUAAAUUUCAUCUAGAUAAGAUUUAGCAUAUCCGAUUUAAAAACGUUCAAAUAUUUUUUAAGUGUUUAUGUAUUUAAAAAAUUCACAAAUUCAAAAAAUAUAUUCAUAAAUUUUAAUAAGUGUUCGCAUACUUCAAAAAGUGUCCACGUGCUAAAAAUAUCAUGAAUUGAAAAAUGAGAAAAAGAAAAAAAGAAGAAAAAGAGAAGAAAUCAAUACAAAAUUCUCCAAAAAAAUCCCACAAAAAGAAUUCUCCCAAAAAAGGGAGAAGAAUGGGGCAGUCAAAAACACAACGUUGUCACACAAACAUCUACAAAAAAGAAAAAAUAUGAAGGAAGAAUAAAGGGAAAAGAUAAGUUCAAGGGGUAAUACGUAUUCUCUCACUCUCACUCCUUUUAUUCUCUCUCAUCACAUACAAUUAUUUUAGGGAUAAAAUCGAUCAUACCCAGUGUGGAAUACGGGGAAAAGUGGGACAAGCGACGCGGGACAACAACAUGCAACAACGCGGAACCAAUCUGUUGUUGGAUGAUCAGGAGGACAGUGGUAUUCUCAUCCUGCCAAAGUUCAAGUCCUAAACUUGACAUUGGUGCUCGCAUUUUCCUGGAUUUAUUUCAGGCCUUCAGGCGAUGUGCGUUCAGUGGGAGAAGACGUUCCAUCGACCAUGAAGGCGUAUGUAGCGACUUUAUCAAUCUUAAGAUAAUGUGAUGACUCAGUCUCUCGGAAGUGCUCAUAGGUGUAGGGUGUGUGUGUCUGCAUUCAUAGGGCCAAGUGUAUGCUCGUGUAUGCGAGCGACUUCGAUUAUAUUAUAUUUAAAAAAUACACAAUGAGAUGCAUGAAUCAAGCGUUUGCACGAAUUUUACAACCAUAAAUCAUGUGGUUGACAAUUAAGAUGUGACAUAGCUAAAUCUAAUCUACUACCUCCGUGCCAUAAUAUUUGUAUAAGAUUUUUUUUGCAGUUUAAAUUACACUGCAUUGGUCAUGGCCACGCUUCAUAGUGACCCUCUAUGAGCAGUCGAUAUUCGUCUUCAGCUUGAACUCCGUCGGCACAGAGGAAAAUGCUUUGUGAAGUCCAUGGGCAUUGGUAUGCACUCGAGGGGGCAAGGAUGACCUUAUAUAAGUGAGUUGGCCCAUACUCCUCAUGGUUGUGCCCGUAGUUUCAGCGCUUGCCGCCGGGAGCUCCUCCACCAUCAUGUCGUCGUCUGUGGGCGGCACCUCCUCGGCUGUGUGCGGCACCACCUUCAAGGGAGGCACCACCUCCUUGCCCUUGUCCAUGGAUGACACCACCUCCAUUCUCUUGUUGUCCGUGUCAUUCUGCAUGAUGAACAAGAAAAAAUUAUGCGUUAUGAACUGCAAAAAGUCCAAAGGUUGAUCGGCAUUAAAAGCUAUCGUUCCCUAUAUUUAUCCAGCCUGACGCUCACUACUUACCCACCACCGCACUCAGUUAACUCUCUCUGGCUCUCACUUCUCUACCACCUAUUCGUCGCCAUGAACUCCAACACCAACACCAACCCCUUCUCUUGGAGCUGUUGGGCAACAUAGCAUGCAAUUUCAAAAAAAUUCCUACGAUCACGCAAGAUCUAUCUGUUGGGGAACGUAGUAAUUUCAAAAAAAUUCCUACGCACACGCAAGAUCAUGGUGAUGCAUAGCAACGAGAGGGGAGAGUGUUGUCCACGUACCCUCGUAGACCGAAAGCGUAAGCAGUAGCACAACACGGUUGAUGUAGUCGUACGUCUUCAUGAUCCGACCGAUCAAGUACCGAACGCACGGCACCUCCGAGUUCAGAACACGUUCAGCUCGAUGACGUCCCUCGAACUCCGAUCCAGCCGAGCUUUGAGGGAGAGUUCCGUCAGCACGACGGCGUGGUGACGAUGAUGAUGUUCUACCGACGCAGGGCUUCGCCUAAGCACCGCUACGAUAUUAUCGAGGUGGAUUAUGGUGGAGGAGGGCACCGCACACGGCUAAGAGAUCAAGAGAUCAAUUGUUGUGUCUAUGGGGUGCCCCCCUCCUCCGUAUAUAAAGGGGGGAGGAGAGGGCCGGCCAAGGGGGUGGCGCGCCCUAGGAGGGGGAACCCUACUCCAAGUAGGUUUGCCCCUCCCUUUCCUAGUCCAAGAAGGAGGGGGGAGGAAGGAGUGGGAGAGGGGAAAGGCAAGGGGGGCGCCCCCCUUCCUUGUCCUAUUCGGACUCAAGGGGAGGGGGCGCGCCUCUUGCCCUGGCCGCCCCCCCUCUCUCUCCNNNNNNNNNNNNNNNNNNNNNNNNNNNNNNNNNNNNNNNNNNNNNNNNNNNNNNNNNNNNNNNNNNNNNNNNNNNNNNNNNNNNNNNNNNNNNNNNNNNNNNNNNNNNNNNNNNNNNNNNNNNNNNNNNNNNNNNNNNNNNNNNNNNNNNNNNNNNNNNNNNNNNNNNNNNNNNNNNNNNNNNNNNNNNNNNNNNNNNNNGGGGGGGGGGGGUCCCGGUAACCCCCGGUACUCCGAUAAAUGUCCGAAAACUUCCGGAACCUUUCCGAUGUCCAAACAUAGUCGUCCAAUAUAUUGAUCUUUACGUCUCGACCAUUUUGAGACUCCUUGUCAUGUCUGUGAUCACAUCCGGGACUCUGAACAACCUUCGGUACAUCAAAACACAUAAACUCAUAAUAUAACCGUCAUCGAACUUUAAGCGUGCGGACCCUACGGGUUCGAGAACUAUGUAGACAUGACCGAGACACACACGUCUCCGGUCAAUAACCAAUAGCGGAACCUGGAUGCUCAUAUUGGCUCCCACAUAUUCUACGAAGAUCUUUAUCGGUCAAACCGCAUAACAACAUACGUUGUUCCCUUUGUCAUCGGUAUGUUACUUGCCCGAGAUUCGAUCGUCGGUAUCCCAAUACCUAGUUCAAUCUCGUUACCGGCAAGUCUCUUUACUCGUUCCGUAAUACAUCAUCCCGCAACUAGCUCAUUAGUUGCAAUGCUUGCAAGGCUUAAGUGAUGUGCAUUACCGAGUGGGCCCAAAGAUACCUCUCCGACAAUCGAAGUGACAAAUCCUAAUCUUGAAAUACGCCAACCCAACAAGUACCUUCGGAGACACCUGUAGAGCACCUUUAUAAUCACCCAGUUACGUUGUGAUGUUUGGUAGUACACAAAGUGUUCCUCCGGUAAACGGGAGUUGCAUAAUCUCAUAGUCAUAGGAACAUGUAUAAGUCAUGAAGAAAGCAAUAGCAACAUACUAAACGACCAAGUGCUAAGCUAACGGAAUGGGUCAGGUCAAUCACAUCAUUCUCCUAAUGAUGUGAUCCCGUUAAUCAAAUGACAACUCAUGUCUAUGGCUAGGAAACAUAGGCAUCUUUGAUCAACGAGCUACUCAAGUAGAGGCAUACUAGUGACACUAUGUUUGUCUAUGUAUUCACACAUGUGUUAUGUUUCCGGUUAAUACAAUUCUAGCAUGAAUAAUAAACAUUUGUCAUGAUAUGAGGAAAUAAAUAAUAACUUUAUUAUUGCCUCUAGGGCAUAUUUCCAUCAGUCUCCCACUUGCACUAGAGUCAAUAAUCUAGUUCACAUCGCCAUGUGAUUUAACACCAAUAGUUCACAUCUUUAUGUGGUUAACGCCCAUAGUUCACAUCGACAUGUGACCAACACCCAAAGGGUUUACUAGAGUCAGUAAUCUAGUUCACAUCGCUAUGUGAUUAACACCCAAAGAGUACUAAGGUCUGAUCAUGUUUUGCUUGUGAGAUAAUUUUAGUCAACGGGUAUGUCACAUUCAGAUCCGCAAGUAUUUUGUAAAUUUCUAUGUCUACAAUGCUCUGCACGGAGCUACUCUAGCUAAUAGUUCCCACUUUCAAUAUGUAUCUAGAUCGAGACUUAGAGUCAUCCAGAUCAAUGUCAAAGCUUGCAUCGACGUAACUCUUUACGAUGAACCUUUUGUCACCUCCAUAAUCGAGAAACAUAUCCUUAUUCCACCAAGGAUAAUUUUGACUGCUGUCGAGUGAUCUACUCCUAGAUCACUAUUGUACUCCCUUGCCAAACUCAGUGUAGGGUUUACAAUAGAUCUGGUACACAUCAUGGCAUACUUUAUAGAACCUAUGGCUGAGGCAUAGGGAAUGACUUUCAUUCUCUUUCUAUCUUCUGUUGUGGUCGGGCUUUGAGUCUUACUCAAUUUCACACCUUGUAACACAGGCAAGAAUUCUUUCUUUGACUGUUCUAUUUUGAACUACUUCAAAAUCUUGUCAAGGUAUGUACUCAUUGAAAAAACUUAUCAAGCGUCUUGAUCUAUCUCUAUAGAUCUUGAUGCUCAAUAUGUAAGCAGCUUCACCGAGGUCUUUUUUUGAAAAAAAACUCCUUUCAAACACUCCUUUAUGCUUUGCAGAAUAAUUCUACAUUAUUACCGAUCAACAAUAUGUCAUUCACAUAUACUUAUCAGAAAUGUUGUAGUGCUCCCACUCACUUUCUUGUAAAUACAGGCUUCACCGUAAGUCUGUAUAAAACUAUAUGCUUUGAUCAACUCAUCAAAGCGUAUAUUCCAACUCCGAGAUGCUUGCACCAGUCCAUAGAUGGAUCGCUGGAGCUUGCACAUUUUGUUAGCACCUUUAGGAUCAACAAAACCUUCUGGUUGCAUCAUAUACAACUCUCUUUUAAGAAAUCCAUUAAGGAAUGUAGUUUUGACAUCCAUUUGCCAUAUUUCAUAAAAUGUGGCAAUUUGCUAACAUGAUUCGGACAGACUUAAGCAUCGCUACGAGUGAGAAAAUCUCAUCGUAGUCAACACCUUGAACUUUGUCAACACCUUUUUAGACAAGUCUAGCUUUGUAGAUAGCAACACUACUAUUAGCGUCCGUCUUCCUCUUGAAGAUCCAUUUAUUCUUUAUUGCUUACCAAUCAUGGGGCAAGUCAACCAAAGUCCACACUUUGUUCUCAUACAUGGAUCCCAUCUCAGAUUUCAUGGCCUCAAGCCAUUUUGCGGAAUUUGGGCUCAUCAUCGCUUCCUCAUAGUUUGUAGGUUCGUCAUGGUCAAGUAACAUGACCUCCAGAACAGGAUUACCGUACCACUCUGGUGCAGAUCUCACUCUGGUUUACCUACGAGGUUCGGUAGUAACUUGAUCUGAAGUUACAUGAUCAUCAUCAUUAGCUUCCUCACUAGUUGGUGUAGUAGUCACAGGAACAGAUUUCUGUGAUGAACUACUUUCCAAUAAGGGAGGAGGUACAGUUACCUCAUCAAGUUCUACUUUCCUCCCACUCACUUCUUUCGAGAGAAACUCCUUCUCUAGAAAGGAUCCAUUCUUAGCAACAAAUGUCUUGCCUUCGGAUCUAUGAUAGAAGGUGUACCCAACAGUCUCCUUUGGGUAUCCUAUGAAGACACAUUUCUCCGAUUUGGGUUUGAGCUUAUCAGGAUGAAACUUUUUCACAUAAGCAUCGCAACCCCAAACUUUAAGAAACGACAACUUAGGUUUCUUGCCAAGCCACAGUUCAUACGGUGUCAUCUCCACGGAUUUAGAUGGUGCCCUAUUUAACGUGAAUGUUGUUGUCUCUAAUGCAUAACCCCAAAACGAUAGUGGUAGAUUGGUAAGAGACAUCAUAGAUCGCACCAUAUCUAAUAAAGUACGGUUACGACGUUCGGACACACCAUUACACUGUAGUGUUCCAGGUGGCGUGAGUAGUGAAACUAUUUCACAAUGUUUUAACUGAAGGCCAAACUCGUUAACUCAAAUAUUUUACUUCUGCGAUCAUAUCAUAGAAACUUUUAUUUUCUUGUUACGAUGAUUCUCCACUUCACUCUGAAAUUCUAUGAACUUUUCAAAUAUUUCAGACUUAUGUUUCAUCAAGUAGAUAUACCCAUAUCUGCUCAAAUCAUCUGUGAAGGUCAGAAAAUAAUGAUACCCGCCGCGAGCCUCAAUAUUCACCGGACCACAUACAUCAGUAUGUAUGAUUUCCAACAAAUCUAUUGCUCGCUCCAUUGUUCCGGAGAACGGAGUCUUAGUCAUCUUGCCCAUGAGGCAUGGUUCGCAAGCAUCACAUGAGGCAUGGUUCGCAAGCAUCAAGUGAUUCAUAAUCAAGUGAUUCCAAAAGUCCAUUAGUAUGGAGUUUCUUCAUGCGCUUUACACCAAUAUGACCUAAACGACAGUGCCACAAAUAAGUUGCACUAUCAUUAUCAACUCUGCAUCUUUUGGCUUCAAUAUUAUGAAUAUGUGUAUCACCACGAUCGAGAUCCAACAAACCAUUUUCAUUGGGUGUAUGACCAUAGAAGGUUUUAUUCAUGCAAACAGAACAACAAUGAUUCUCUAGCUUACAUGAAUAACUGUAUUGCAAUAAACAUGAUCCAAUCAUAUUCAUGCUCAACGCAAACACUAAAUAACAUUUAUUUUAGGUUCAACACUAAUCCCGAAAGUAUAGGGAGUGUGCGAUGAUGAUCAUAUCAAUCUUGGAACCACUUCCAAUACACAUCGUCACUUCACCCUUAACUAGUCUCUGUUCAUUCUGCAACUCCGGUUUCGAGUUACUACUCUUAGCAACUGAACCAGUAUCAAAUACCGAGGGGUUGCUAUAAACACUAGUAAAGUACACAUCAAUAACAUGUAUAUCAAAUAUAGCUUUGUUCACUUUUCCAUCCUUCUUAUCCACCAAAUACUUGGGGCAGUUCCGCUUCCAGUGACUAGUCCCUUUGUAGUAGAAGCACUCAGUCUCAGGCUUAGGUCCAGACUUGGGCUUCUUCACUUGAGCAGCAACUUGCUUGCCGUUCUUCUUGAAGUUCCCCUUCUUCCCUUUGCCCUUUUCUUGAAACUAGUGGUCUUGUCGACCAUCAAAACUUGAUACUUUUCUUAAUUUCUACCUUCGUCGAUUUCAGCAUCACGAAGAGCUUGGGAAUCAUUUCCGUUAUCCCUUGCAUAUUAUAGUUCAUCACGAAGUUCUAGUAACUUGGUGAUAGUGACUAGAGAACUCUGUCAAUCACUUUCUUAUCUGGAAGAUUAACUCUCACUUGAUUCAAGUGAUUGUAGUACUCAGACAUUCUGAGCACAUGCUCACUAGCUGAGCAAUUCUCCUCCAUCUUGUAGGCAAAGUACUUGUCAAAGGUCUCAUACCUUUCGACAUGGGCAUGAGUCUGAAAUACUAAUUUCAACUCUUGGAACAUCUCAUAUGCUCCGUGGCGUUUCAAAAAACGUCUUUGAAGCCCCGAUUCUAAGUCGUAAAGCAUGGUGCACUAAACUAUCAAGUAGUCAUCAUACCGAGCUUUUGUCAAACGUUCAUAACGUCUGCAUCUGCUCCUGCAAUAGUUCUGUCACCUAGCGGUGCAUUAAGGACAUAAUACUUCUGUGUAGCAAUGAGGUUAAUCCUCAGAUCACGAACCAAGUCCGCAUCAUUGCUACUAACAUCUUUCAACUUAGUUUUCUCUAGGAACAUAUCAAAAUAAAAUAGGGGAGCUAAAUGUGAGCUAUUGAUCUACAACAUAGAUAUGCUAAUACUACCAGGACUAAGUUCAUGAUACAUUUAAGUUAAAUUAAUCAUAUUACUUAAGAACUCCCACUUAGAUAGACAUCUCUCUAAUCAUCUAAGUGAUCACGUGAUCCAAAUCAACUAAACCAUGUCCGAUCAUCACGUGAGAUGGAGUAGUUUCAAUGGUGAACAUCACUAUGUUGAUCAUAUCUACUAUAUGAUUCACGCUCGACCUUUCGGUCUCAGUGUUCCGAGGCCAUAUCUGUUAUAUGCUAGGCUCGUCAAGUUUAACCUGAGUAUUCCGCGUGUGCAACUGUUUUGCACCCGUUGUAUUUGAACGUAGAGCCUAUCACACCCGAUCAUCAUGUGGUGUCUCGGCACGAAGAACUUUCGCAACGGUGCAUACUCAGGGAGAACACUUAUACCUUGAUAAUUUAGUGAGAGAUCAUCUUAUAAUGCUACCGCCGAUCUAAGCAUAAUAAGAUGCAUAAAAGAUAAACAUCACAUGCAAUCAAUAUAAGUGAUAUGAUAUGGCCAUCAUCAUCUUGUGCUUGUGAUCUCCAUCUCUGAAGCACCGUCAUGAUCACCAUCGUCACCGGCGCAACACCUUGAUCUCCAUCGUAGCAUCGUUGUCGUCUCGCCAACUAUUGCUUCUACGACUAUCGCUACCGCUUAGUGAUAAAGUAAAGCAGUUACAGGGCGAUUGCAUUGCAUACAAUAAAGCGACAACCAUAUGGCUCCUGCCAGUUGCCGAUAACUCGGUUACAAAACAUGGUCAUCUCAUACAAUAAAAUAUAGUAUCAUGCCUUGAACAUAUCACAUCACAACAUGCCCUGCAAAAACAAGUUAGGCGUCCUCUACUUUGUUGUUGCAAGUUUUACGUGGCUGCUAUGGGCUGAGCAAGAACCGUUCUUACCUACGCAUCAAAACCACAACGAUAGUUUGUCAAGUUGGUGUUGUUUUAACCUUCGCAAGGACCGGGCGUAGCCACACUCAGUUCAACUAAAGUUGGAGAAACUGACACCCGCUAGUCACCUGUGUGCAUAGCACGGCGGUAAAACCAGUCUCGCGUAAGCGUACGCGUAAUGUCGGUCCGGGCCGCUUCAUCCAACAAUACCGCCGAACCAAAGUAUGAUAUGCUGGUAAGCAGUAUGACUUGUAUCGCCCAUAACUCACUUGUGUUCUACUCGUGCAUAUAACAUCUACGCAUAAAACCUGGCUCUGAUGCCACUGUUGGGGAACGUAGUAAUUUCAAAAAAAAUCCUACGCACACGCAAGAUCAUGGUGAUGCAUAGCAACGAGAGGGGAGAGUGUUGUCCACGUACCCUCGUAGACCGAAAGCGGAAGCGUUAGCACAACGCGGUUGAUGUAGUCGUACGUCUUCACGAUCCGACCGAUCAAGUACCGAACGCACGUCACCUCCGAGUUCAGCACACGUUCAGCUCGAUGACGUCCCUCGAACACCGAUCCAGCCGAGCUUUGACGAAGAGUUCCGUCAGCACGACGGCGUGGUGACGAUGAUGAUGUUCUACCGACGUAGGGCUUCACCUAAGCACCACUACGAUAUUAUCGAGGUGGAUUAUGAUGGAGGGGGGCACCGCACACGGCUAAGAGAUCAAUUGUUGUGUCUAUGGGGUGCCCCCUCCUCCGUAUAUAAAGGGGGGGAGGAGGAGAGGGUCGGCCAAGGGGGUGGCGCGCCCUAGGAGGGGGAAACCUACUCCAAGUAGGUUUGCCCCUCCCUUUCCUAGUCCAAGAAGGAGGGGGGAGGAAGGAGUGGGAGAGGGGAAAGGCAAGGGGGCGCCCCCUUCCUUGUCCUAUUCGGACUCAAGGGGAGGGGGCGCGCCUCUUGCCCUGGCCGGCCCCUCUCUCUCCCCACUAGGGCCCAACAAGGCCCAUUAGUUCCAGGGGGUCCGGUAACCCCCGGUACUCUGAUAAAUGUCCGAAACCUUCCGAAACCUUUCCGGUGUCCGAACAUAGUCGUCCGAUAUAUCGAUCUUUAUGUCUCGACCAUUUUGAGACUCCUCGCCAUGUCCGUGAUCACAUCCGAGACUCCGAACAACCUUCGGUACAUCAAAACACAUAAACUCAUAAUAUAACCGUCAUCGAACUUUAAGCGUGCGGACCCUACGGGUUCGAGAACUAUGUAGAGAUGACCAAGACACACACGUCUCCGGUCAAUAACCAAUAGCGGAACCUGGAUGCUCAUAUUGGCUCCCACAUAUUCUACGAAGAUCUUUAUCGGUCAAACCGCAUAACAACAUACGUUGUUCCCUUUGUCAUCGGUAUGUUACUUGCCCGAGAUUCGAUCGUCGGUAUCCCAAUACCUAGUUCAAUCUCGUUACCGGCAUGUCUCUUUACUCGUUCCGUAAUACAUCAUCCCGCAACUAACUCAUUAGUUGCAAUGCUUGCAAGGCUUAAGUGAUGUGCAUUACUGAGUGGGCCCAGAGAUACCUCUCUGACAAUCGGAGUGACAAAUCCUAAUCUUGAAAUACGCCAACCCAACAAGUACCUUCGAAGACACCUGUAGAGCACCUUUAUAAUUACCCAGUUACGUUGUGACGUUUGGUAGCACACAAAGUGUUCCUCCGGUAAACGGGAGUUGCAUAAUCUCAUAGUCAUAGGAACAUGUAUAAGUCAUGAAGAAAGCAAUAGCAACAUACUAAACGAUCAAGUGCUAAGCUAACGGAAUGGGUCAAGUCAAUCACAUCAUUCUCCUAAUGAUGUGAUCCCGUUAAUCAAGUGACAACUCAUGUCUAUGGCUAGGAAACAUAGCCAUCUUUGAUCAACGAGCUAGUCAAGUAGAGGCAUACUAGUGACACUAUGUUUGUCUAUGUAUUCACACAUGUAUUAUGUUUCCGGUUAAUACAAUUCUAGCAUGAAUAAUAAACAUUUAUCAUGAUAUGAGGAAAUAAAUAAUAACUUUAUUAUUGCCUCUAGGGCAUAUUUCCUUCACUAUCUAGGAGAUGCAUAGCAACGAGAGGGGAGAGUAUGUCCACGUACCCUCGUAGACCGAAAGCAGAAGCGUUAGUUUAACGCGGUUGAUGUAGUCAAACGUCUUCACGAUCCAACCGAUCCAAGUACCGAACGUACGGCACCUCCGUGUUCAGCAGACGUCCAGAUCGAUGACGUCCUCGAACUCUUGAUCCAGCAGAGGGUCGAGGGAGAGUUCCGUCAGCACGAUGGCGUGGUGACGUUGAUGGUGAUGUGAUCCGCGCAGGGCUUCGCCUAAGCACUACGACGCUAUGACCGGAGGAGUAAACUGUGGAGGGGGGCACCGUACACGACUAAGGGAACAAUUGACGUGCCUUUGGGGUGCCCCCUGCCGACAUAUAUAAAGGAGGAGGGGGAGGCCGGCUGGCCCUAGGGGCGCGCCAAGUGGGGGGAGUCCCACUAGGACUCCUAGUCCUAGUCGGAUCCCCCCUUCCUUCCAACGGAGAGGGGAAAGGGGAAAGAGGUGGAGAGGGAGAAGGAAAGUGGGGCCGCGCCCCCACCCCUUGUCCAAUUCGGAUUGGACUUGGGGGGCGCCACCUCCUGCGGCUGCCUCCUCCUCUCCACUAGGCCCAUGAGGCCCAUUAACUUUCCCGGGGGGUUUCGAUAACCUCCCAGUACUCCGAUAAAUCCCCGAACCUAUUCGGAACCAUUCCGAUGUCCGUAUAUAACCUUCCAAUAUAUCAAUCUUUACCUCUCGACCAUUUCUAGACUCCUCGUCAUGUCCGUGAUCUCAUCCGGGACUGCGAACAAACUUCAGUCACCAAAACACACAACUCAUAAUAGAAAUCGUCAUCGAACGUUAAGCGUGCGGACCCUACGGAUUCGAGAACUAUGUAGACAUGACCGAGACACAUCUCCGGUCAAUAACCAAUAGUGGAACCUGGAUGCUCAUAUUGGUUGCUACAUAUUCUACGAACAUCUUUAUCGGUCAAACCGCAUAACAACAUACGUCAUUCCCUUUGUCAUCGGUAUGUUACUUGCCCGAGAUUCGAUCGUCGGUAUCAUCAUACCUAGUUCAAUCUCGUUACCGGCAAGUCUCUUUACUCGUUCUGUAAUGCAUCAUCCCGCAACUAACUCAUUAGUCACAUUGCUUGCAAGGCUUAUAGUGAUGUGCAUUACCGAGAGGGCCCAGAGACACCUCUCCGAUACACGGAGUGACAAAUCCUAAUCUUGAUCUAUGCCAACCCAACAAACACCUUCGGAGACACCUGUAGAGCAUCUUUAUAAUCACCUAGUUACGUUGUGACAUUUGAUAGCACACAAGGUGUUCCUCCGGUAUUCGGGAGUUGCAUAAUCUCAUAGUCAGAGGAAUAUGUAUAAGUCAUGAAGAAAGCAAUAGCAAUAAAACUAAACGAUCAUAAUGCUAAGAUAAUGGAUGGUUCUUGUCCAUCACAUCAUUCUCUAAUGAUGUGAUCCCGUUCAUCAAAUGACAAGACAAAUCUAUGGUUAGGAAACUUAACCAUCUUUCAUUAACGAGCUAGUCAAGUAGAGGCAUACUAGAGACACUCUGUUUUGUCUAUGUAUUCAGACAUGUAUUAAGUUUCCGGUGAAUACAAUUCUAGCAUGAAUAAUAAACAUUUAUCACGAUACAAGGAAAUAUAAAUAACAACUUUAUUAUUGCCUCUAGGGCAUAUUUCCUUAAGUCUCCCACUUGCACUAGAGUCAAUAAUCUAGAUUACAUAGUAAUGAUUCUAACACCCAUGGAGUCAUGGUGUUGAUCAUGUUUUGCUCGUAGAAGAGGCUUAGUCAACGGGUCUGCAACAUUCAGAUUCGUAUGUAUUUUGCAAAUCUCUAUGUCUCCCUCCUUGACUUGAUUGCGGAUGGAAUUGAAGCGUCUCUUGAUGUAUUUGGUUCUGUUGUGAAAUCUGGAUUCCUUCGCAAGGGCUAUUGCUCCAAUAUUGUCACAAAAUAUUUUCAUUGGACCCGAUGCACUAGGUAUUACACCUAGAUCGGAUAUGAACUGCUUCAUCCAUACUCCUUCAUUUGCUGCUUUUGAAGCAGCUAUGUACUCCACUUCGCACGUAGAUCCUGCCACGACGCUCUGCUUGGAACUGCACAAACUGACAGCUCCACCAUUCAAUAUAAAUACGUAUCCGGUUUGUGACUUAGAGUCAUCCGGAUCAGUGUCAAAGCUUGCAUCGACGUAACCAUUUACGACAAGCUCUUUGUCACCUCCAUAAACGAGAAACAUAUCCUUAGUCCUUUUCAGGUAUUUCAGGAUGUUCUUGACCGCUGUCAAGUGAUCCACUCCUGGAUUACUUUGGUACCUCCCUGCUAAACUUAUAGCAAGGCACACAUCAGGUCUGGUACACAACAUUGCAUACAUGAUAGAACCUAUGGCUGAUGCAUAGGGAAUGACUUUCAUUUUCUCUCUAUCUUCAGUAGUUGUCGGGCAUUGAGUCUGACUCAACUUCACACCUUGUAACACAGGCAAGAACCCUUUCUUUAACUGAUCCAUUUUGAACUUGUUCAAAAUUUUAUCAAGGUAUGUGCUUUGUGAAAGUCCAAUUAAGCGUCUUGAUCUAUCUCUAUAGAUCUUGAUGCCCAAUAUGUAAGCAGCUUCACCGAGGUCUUUCAUUGAAAAAUUCUUAUUCAAGUAUCCUUUUAUGCUAUCUAGAAAUUUUGUAUCAUUUCCAAUCAACAAUAUGUCAUCUAUAUAUAAUAUUAGAAAUGCUACAGAGCUCCCACUCACUUUCUUGUAAAUACAGGCUUCUCCAAAAGUCUAUAAAAUCAUAUGCUUUGAUCACACUAUCAAAGCGUAUAUUCCAACUCCGAGAUGCUUGCACCAAUCCAUAAAUGGAUUGCUGGAGCUUGCACACUUUGUUAGCACCUUUAGGAUCGACAAAACCUUCUGGUUGCACCAUAUACAACUCUUCUUUAAGAUAUCCAUUAAGGAAUGCAGUUUUGACAUCCAUUUGCCAAAUUUCAUAAUCAUAAAAUGCAGCAAUUGCUAACAUGAUUCGGAUGGACUUAAGCAUCGCUACGGGUGAGAAGGUCUCAUCGUAGUAGACUCCUUGAACUUUUUAAAAACCUUUCGCAACAAGUCGAGCUUUGUAGACAGUAACAUUACCGUCAGCGUCAGUCUUGUUCUUGAAGAUCCAUUUAUUCUCUAUGGCUUGCCGAUCAUCGGGCAAGUCAACCAAAGUCCACACUUUGUUCUCAUACAUGGAUCCCAUCUCAGAUUUCAUGGACUCAAGCCAUUUGGCGGAAUCUAGGCUCAUCAUCGCUUCCUCAUAGUUCGUAGGUUCGUCAUGGUCUAGUAACAUGACUUCUAAAACAGGAUUACCGUACCACUCUGGUGCGGAGCAUACUCUGGUUGACCUCCGAGGUUCGGUAGUAACUUGAUCUGAAGUUUCAUGAUCAUCAUCAUUAGCUUCCUCACUAAUUGGUGUAGGAAUCACUGGAACUGAUUUCUGUGAUGAACUACUUUCCAAUUCGGGAGAAGGUACAAUUACCUCAUCAAGUUCUACUUUCCUCCGACUCACUUCUUUCAAGAGAAACUCCUUCUCUAGAAAGGAUCCAUUCUUAGCAACGAAAAUCUUGCCUUCGGAUCUGUGAUAGAAGGUGUACCCAACAGUUCACUUUGGGUAUCCUAUGAAGACACAUUUCUUCGAUUUGGGUUCGAGCUUAUCAGGUUGAAGCUUUUUCACAUAAGCAUCGCAUCCCAAACUUUAAGAAACGACAACUUAGGUUUCUUGCUAAACCACAGUUCAUAUGGUGUCGUCUCAACGGAUUUAGAUGAUGCCCUAUUUAAUGUGAAUGCAGCUGUCUCUAAAGCAUAACCCCAAAACGAUAGCGGUAAAUCGGUAAGAGACAUCAUAGAUCGCACCAUAUCUAAUAAAAUACGGUUACGACGUUCGGACACACCAUUAUGCUGUGGUGUUCCAGGUGGCGUGAGUUGUGAAACUAUUCCAUAUUGUUUCAAAUGAAGAAAAAACUCAUAACUCAAAUAUUCACCUCCACGAUCAGAUCGUAGAAACUUUAUUUUCUUGUUACGAUGAUUUUCUACUUCACUCUGAAAUUCUUUGAACUUUUCAAAUGUUUCAGACUUAUGUUUCAUCAAGUAGAUAUACCCAUAUCUGCUCAAAUCAUCUGUGAAGGUCAGAAAAUAACGAUACUCGCCGCGAGCCUCAACACUCAUUGGACCGCAUACAUCAGUAUGUAUUAUUUCCAACAAGUCAGUUGCUCGCUCCAUUGUUCCGGAGAACGGAGUCUUAGUCAUCUUGCCCAUGAGGCAUGGUUCACAAGCAUCAAGUGAUUCAUAAUCAAGUGAUUCCAAAAGCCCAUCAGCAUGGAGUUUCUUCAUGCGUUUAAUAUGACCUAAAUGGCAGUGCCACAAAUAAGUUGCACUAUCAUUAGUAACCUUGCAUCUUUUGGCUUCAAUAUUAUGAAUAUGUGUAUCACUACAAUCGAGAUUCAACAAAAAUAGACCACUCAUCAAGGGUGCAUGACCAUAAAAGAUAUUAUUCAUAAAAAUAAAACAAUCAUUAUUCUCUGAUUUAAAUGAAUAACCGUCUCGCAUCAAACAAGAUCCAGAUAUAAUGUUCAUGCUUAACGCUGGCACCAAAUAACAAUUAUUCAGGUCUAAAACUAAUCCCGAAGGUAGAUAUAGAGGUAGCGUGCCGACGGUGAUCACAUCGACUUUGGAACCAUUUCCCACGCGCAUCGUCACCUCGUCCUUAGCCAAUCUUCGAUUAUUCCGUAUCCCCUGUUUUAAGUUGCAAAUAUGAGAAACAAAACCAGUAUCAAAUACCCAGGCGCUACUACAAGCAUUAGUAAGGUACAAAUUAAUAACAUGUAUAUCAAAUAUACCUUUCACUUUGCCAUCCUUCUUAUCCGCCAAAUACUUGGGGCAGUUCCGCUUUCAGUGACCAGUCCCUUUGCAGUAGAAGCACUCAGUCUCAGGCUUAGGUCCAUACUUGGGCUUCUUCACUUGAGCAGCAACUUGCUUGCCAUUAUUCUUGAAGUUCCCCUUCUUCCGUUUGCCCUAUUUCUUGAAACUAGUGGUCUUGUUAACCAUCAACACUUGAUGGUCCUUCUUGAUUUCUACCUCCGCGGCCUUUAGCAUUGCGAAGAGCUUGGGAAUUGUCUUAUCCAUCCCUUGCAUAUUAUAUAUAGUUCAUCACGAAGCUUUUAUAGCUUGGUGGCAGUGAUUGAAGAACUCUGUCAAUGACACUAUCAUCAGGAAGAUUAACUCCCAGUUGAGUCAAGUGGUUAUGGUACCCAGACAUUCUGAGUAUAUGUUCACUGACAGAACUAUUCUCCUCCAUUUUGCAGCUAUAUAACUUAUUGGAGACUUCAUAUCUCUCAAUGCGGGCAUUUGCUUGAAAUAUUAACUUCAAUUCCUGGAACAUCUUAUAUGCUCCAUGACGUUCAAAACGUCUUUGAUGUCCCGAUUCUAAGCCGUAAAGCAUGGCACACUGAACUAUCGAGUAGUCAUCAGCUUUGCUCUGCCAGAUGUUCAUAAAGUCCGGAGUUGCUCCUGCAGCGGGUCUUGCACCUAGCAGUGCUCCAGGACGUAAUUCUUCUGUGCAGAAAUGAGGAUAACCCUCAAGUUACGGACCCAGUCUGUGUAGUUGCUACCAUCAUCUUUCAACUUAGCUUUCUCUAGGAACGCAUUAAAAUUCAAGGGAACGGUAGCACGGGCCAUUGAUCUACAACAACGUAGACAUGCAAAAACUAUCAGGUACUAAGUUCAUGAUAAAUUAAAGUUCAAUUAAUCAUAUUACAUAAGAACUCCUACUUAGAUAGACAUCCCUCUAGUCAUCUAAAUGAUCACGUGAUCCAAAUCAACUAAACCAUGUCCGAUCAUCACGUGAGAUGGAGUAGUUUUCAAUGGUGAACAUCACUAUGUUGAUCAUAUCUACUAUAUGAUUCACGUUCGACCUUUCGGUCUCAGUGUUCCGAGGCCAUAUCUGCAUAUGCUAGGCUCGUCAAGUUUAACCCGAGUAUUCUGCACGUGCAAAACUGGCUUGCACCCGUUGUAUGUGAAUGUAGAGCUUAUCACACCCGAUCAUCACGUGGUGUCUCGGCACGACGAACUGUAGCAACGGUGCAUAAUCAGGGAGAACACUUAUACCUUGAAAUUUAGUGAGGGAUCAUCUUAUAAUGCUACCAACGUACUAAGCAAAAUAAGAUGCAUAAAAGAUAACCAUCACAUGCAAUCAAAAUAUGUGACAUGAUAUGGCCAUCAUCAUCUUGUGCCUUUGAUCUCCAUCUCCAAAGCUCCGUCAUGAUCUCCAUAGUCAACGACUUGACACCUUGAUCUCCAUCGUAGCAUCGUUGUCGUCUCGCCAACUAUUGCUUCUACGACUAUCGCUACAGCUUAGUGAUAAAGUAAAGCAAUUACAUGGCGUUUGCAUUUCAUACAAUAAAGCGACAACCAUAAGGCUCCUGUCAGUUGCCGAUAACUUCUACAAAACAUGACCAUCUCAUACAACAAUUUAUAUCUCAUCACGUCUUGACCAUAUCACAUCACAACAUGCCCUGCAAAACAAGUUAGACGUCCUCUACUUUGUUGUUGCAAGUUUUAAGUGGCUGCUACGGGCUUCUAGCAAGAACCGUUCCUACCUACGCAUCAAAACCACAACGAUUUUUCAUCAAGUGCACUAUUUUAACCUUCAACAAGGACCGGCCGUAGUCACACUCGAUUCAACUAAAGUUGGAGAAACAGACACCCGCCAGCCGCGAAGCAUGUCGGUAGAACCAGUCUCAUGAACGCGGUCAUGUAAUGUCGGUCCGGGCCGCUUCAUCCAACAAUACCGCCGAAUCAAAGUAAGACGUUGGUGGUAAGCACUAUGACUAUUAUCGCCCACAACUCAUUGUGUUCUACUCGUGAUAUAACAUCUACGCAUAGACAUGGCUCGGAUGCCACUGUUGGGGAACGCAGUAUUUCAAAAAAAAUCCUACGAUCACGCAAGAUCUAUCUAGGAGAUUCAUAGCAACGAGAUAGGAGAGUGUGUCCGUGUACCCUCAUAGACCGAAAGCGGAAGCGUUUAGUAACGCGGUUGAUGUAGUUGAACGUCUUCAUGAUCCAACUGAUCCAAGUACCGAACGUACGGCACCUUCGUGUUCAGCACACGUUCAGCACAGUGACGUCCCUCGAGCUCUUGAUCCAGUAGAUGUUCGAGGGAGAGUUCCGUCAGCACGACGGCGUGGCGACGAUGAUGAUGAAGUUACCAGCGCAGGGCUUUGCCUAAGCACUAUGACGAUAUGACCGAGGUGUUAAACUGUGGAGGGGGGCACCGCACACGGCUAAGAGAUUGUCUGUUGUGCUUUGGGGUGCCCCCUACCUACAUAUAUAAAGGAGGGGGGAGGAGGAGGCCGCCAAUGGGGAGGCGCGCCAAGGGGGGUGAGUCCUACUAGCCAAACCUAGUAGGAUUCACCCCCCUUUCCUUCCAGCGGAGAGGGGGAAAGGGGAAAGGAGGGAGAGGGAGAGGGAGAAGGAAAGAGGGGGGCCGCGCCCCCUCCCCUUGUCCAAUUCGGAUUGGGGCAAGGGGGCGCGCCCCACGUCCUGUGGCCUGCCUCCUCUCCUCCACUAUGGCCCAUUAGGCCCAAUAACUUUCCCGGGGGGGGGGGGGUCCGAUAGCCUCCCGGUACUCCGAAAAAUCCCCGAACCUUAUCGAAACCAUUCCGAUGUCUGUAUAUAACCUUCCAAUAUAUCAAUCUUUACCUCUCGACCAUUUCGAGACUCCUCGUCAUGUCCGUGAUCUCAUCCGGGACUACGAACAAACUUCGGUCACCAAAACACACAACUCAUAAUACAAAUCGUCAUCGAACGUUAAGCGGGCGGACCCUACGGGUUCGAGAACUAUGUAGACAUGGCCGAGACACAUCUCUAGUCAAUAACCAAUAGCGGAACCUAGAUUCUCAUAUUGGCUCCUACAUAUUCUACGAAGAUCUUUAUCGGUCAAACCGCAUAACAACAUAUGUCAUUCCCUUUGUCAUCGGUAUGUUACUUGCCCGAGAUUCGGUCGUCGGUAUCAUCAUACCUAGUUCAAUCUCGUUACCGGCAAGUCUCUUUACUCGUUCUGUAAUGCAUCAUCCCGCAACUAACUCAUUAGUCACAUUGCUUGCAAGGCUUAUAGUGAUGUGCAUUACCGAGGGGGCCCAGAGAUACCUCUCCGAUACACGGAGUGACAAAUCCUAAUCUUGAUCUAUGCCAACCCAACAAACACCUUCAGAGACACCUGUAGAGUAUCUUUAUAAUCACCUAGUUAUGUUGUGACGUUUGAUAGCACACAAGGUGUUCCUCCGGUAUUCGGGAGUUGCAUAAUCUCAUAGUCAGAGGAAUAUGUAUAAGUCAUGAAGAAAGCAAUAGCAAUAAAACUAAAUGAUCAUAAUGCUAAGCUAACGGAUGGGUCUUGUCCAUCACAUCAUUCUCUAAUGAUGUGAUCCCGUUCAUCAAAUGACAACACAUGUCUAUGGCCAGGAAACUUAACCAUCUUUGAUUAACGACCUAGUCAAGUAGAGGCAUACUAGGGACACUCUGUUUUGUCUAUGUAUUCACAUAUGUACUAAGUUUCCAGUUAAUACAAUUCUAUCAUGAAUAAUAAACAUUUACCAUGAUAUAAGGAAAUUUAAAUAACAACUUGAUUAUUGCCUCUAGGGCAUAUUUCCUUCAGGAGCAUUGGAUGUAGGGCUUUCUUCACUGGGUGCUUGCUCGGUGAUCGUAUCAAGUUCAAGAACACCAUGGAAGUGUGCUUCAACUUCAGUAGCAUCGUAGACAUGCACACGGAGGUUGACGUUGUGGUCAAGAAGGCGACGCGAAGGAGUUGAAGACGCUGAUUCCUGACCCAGUGAAGGACGCUAUGCCUGUCAACAUCCUGCACUUGGCCAUGAAUCAGGCCGACUCCGGCGAUGCUGGAUAGAGGGCAAGGUGGCCAAGUACAUAGAGUACAGGGCUCCUCAAGACCAUUGUGUUGCAGCUUUCUAGAAUAGAACGUUGGUGGCACCGGAGGUCAUCGCUCUGGAGUAGGAGGAGGAAGAAGAAGCGGUGGAGGUGGUGGUUAGGGCGCCGAGCGAGGCCACCGUACUUUGUCGAUCGAUCUAGACGACGAGACGGUGGUCCAGCCGGAGGACAAGAACAAGGCCAAGGGUCCCCGCCGCUCCAAGCGCUUCGAGGGUCGCUGGGGCUAGGGUUUGAAGCUAUUUGUGUAAGAUUAACCCCGAUCCCCAUUCUCCUUGUGCUCAAUACGGAUCGGAACCCUAAAAUCCAUCGCUACUUAGUACUCAUGAAGAAAUUUUAUCAAUCCUAUGUCCCUUUGGCUAUUUACCCCGAUUCCCCAUUCCCCUAGAACGCUGAUGGAUUACGCGGAUUGAAUCUAAACGCGGAUCGAAUGUGAAAUAGUAAGUGAGGAGGUGAAAAUAGGGCUUACCGCCAUUGCCGAGGUGAUGUUGUUGAUGUUGAUGAUGUCGGUGAUGGAGGCCGUUGGUCGCUUUGCUGUUCUCCGAUCCGCUGAUCACCACUGCCACGGUGUGUGUCAGAGCGGUGAGGGUAAUUAUUGUCGGUGCUUCAGGAAACAACACGACUUCUUGAACGUGGCCCCUCGCGUGUAGCCGCCGCCGCUCACGUGCACCCCGUGGGACUAGUUGUGAAAAAACUGUCUAUUUGGACGUUCCUAGCUAACCUGGAUGGAAGGUGCUCUAACCUGGCUGGAAGGUGCUUUAAAUGUCGUGCGUACAACCCAAACAGUGAUCAUAGACAACCAAACAGCUUACUUUCAUCCUACGCGAGCCUGAUUGACCUCUGUCUCUGUGCGGCUACCAAACACGCUCCUACCGAGCUAGAGCAAGCACACGCAGAUCGAUCGGGCGAGAGAAUCCUGAUAGAGCAAGGCGCAUCGGAGCGCGGGCAGACAAGCACGGACCCUGGCCUCGUGCGACGUCUUCCUCAACCUCAACCCGAUGCGAUGCCUCUCCUCCUUCCUCUUUUCUAUUUGCACUUGGGAUCCAUCCGUUCAUGGCCCCGGCAUUGCAGUGCCCACUUGACAUUUGUGUACUCUUGCACUUGUUAAAGAACCAAAAAAAUGGCUCCUCUGCAAUUCAGUUGCUCCUGUACCUGUAGUGUAUGUAUCUACUUCUGCUGGCACUAGAUUCGCAGGACUGGUUUUUAAUGUCACAGUGUCAGUGCUCGGGGAGGAUAUAUCAGCGUCAGCGUCAUCUCCCGAACGACAUCAGCAUGGGAUUCCUGUCAUUUGCAUAAUUGCAUGGUUGCUGGACAACGGCAUAAGGCCAAUUCCACCGCGCGAUCCCAAACGGACGUUCGAUUUGAUCGGAUUUUGUCCCUUUGAGGUGCCGAUGGGUUCGCCCAUGUCCGCGUUUGUCCGAUGGGUCGUGGGUGCGCCCAACACGCGGCCGCACCCCAAAACCUGUCCGGGGUGCACGUGAAUAAAAAAAUAUAAAAACUUACAUGAAAUGAUUAAAAAAGUAAAUAAACGCAGUUAAAAAAACAUAAAACAUAUAUAUAAGGGUUACGGUCACAAAACGGUCCAGUUUUUCAGUCCACUUAAACGGCCCAGUUUCAUAAUUAACUUAAAACAAAAAAAAAA
rnacentral:lncRNA from 1 species